UACGGGGGGAGCAAGCGUUGUUCGGAUUUACUGGGCGUAAAGGGCGCGUAGGCGGCGCAACAAGUCACUUGUGAAAUCAUCCCGGGCUUAACCCGGAGCGGCCAAGUGAUACUGUCGUGCUAGAGUGCGGAAGGGGGCUACUGGAAUUCUCGGUGUAGCGGAUGAAAUGCGUAGAUAUCGAGAGGAACACCUGCGGCGGAAGGCGGGUAGCUGGGC
rnacentral:rRNA from 1 species